AUUAGAGUUUGAUCCUGGCUCAGAUUGAACGCUGGCGGCAGGCCUAACACAUGCAAGUCGAACGGUAACAGGAAGAAGCUUGCUUCUUUGCUGACGAGUGGCGGACGGGUGAGUAAUGUCUGGGAAACUGCCUGAUGGAGGGGGAUAACUACUGGAAACGGUAGCUAAUACCGCAUAACGUCGCAAGACCAAAGAGGGGGACCUUCGGGCCUCUUGCCAUCGGAUGUGCCCAGAUGGGAUUAGCUUGUUGGUGGGGUAACGGCUCACCAAGGCGACGAUCCCUAGCUGGUCUGAGAGGAUGACCAGCCACACUGGAACUGAGACACGGUCCAGACUCCUACGGGAGGCAGCAGUGGGGAAUAUUGCACAAUGGGCGCAAGCCUGAUGCAGCCAUGCCGCGUGUAUGAAGAAGGCCUUCGGGUUGUAAAGACUUUCAGCGGGGAGGAAGGGAGUAAAGUUAAUACCUUUGCUCAUUGACGUUACCCGCAGAAGAAGCACCGGCUAACUCCGUGCCAGCAGCCGCGGUAAUACGGAGGGUGCAAGCGUUAAUCGGAAUUACUGGGCGUAAAGCGCACGCAGGCGGUUUGUUAAGUCAGAUGUGAAAUCCCCGGGCUCAACCUGGGAACUGCAUCUGAUACUGGCAAGCUUGAGUCUCGUAGAGGGGGGUAGAWUUCCAGGUGUAGCGGUGAAAUGCGUAGAGAUCUGGAGGAAUACCGGUGGCGAAGGCGGCSCCCUGGACGAAGACUGACGCUCAGGUGCGAAAGCGUGGGGAGCAAACAGGAUUARAUACCCUGSUAGUCCACGCCGUARACGAUGUCGACUUGGAGGUUGUGCCCUUGAGGCGUGGCUUCCGGAGCUAACGCGUUAAGUCGACCGCCUGGGGAGUACGGCCGCAAGGUUAAAACUCAAAUGAAUUGACGGGGGCCCGCACAAGCGGUGGAGCAUGUGGUUUAAUUCGAUGCAACGCGAAGAACCUUACCUGGUCUUGACAUCCACAGAACUUUCCAGAGAUGGAUUGGUGCCUUCGGGAACUGUGAGACAGGUGCUGCAUGGCUGUCGUCAGCUCGUGUUGUGAAAUGUUGGGUUAAGUCCCGCAACGAGCGCAACCCUUAUCCUUUGUUGCCAGCGGUCCGGCCGGGAACUCAAAGGAGACUGCCAGUGAUAAACUGGAGGAAGGUGGGGAUGACGUCAAGUCAUCAUGGCCCUUACGACCAGGGCUACACACGUGCUACAAUGGCGCAUACAAAGAGAAGCGACCUCGCGAGAGCAAGCGGACCUCAUAAAGUGCGUCGUAGUCCGGAUUGGAGUCUGCAACUCGACUCCAUGAAGUCGGAAUCGCUAGUAAUCGUGGAUCAGAAUGCCACGGUGAAUACGUUCCCGGGCCUUGUACACACCGCCCGUCACACCAUGGGAGUGGGUUGCAAAAGAAGUAGGUAGCUUAACCUUCGGGAGGGCGCUUACCACUUUGUGAUUCAUGACUGGGGUGAAGUCGUAACAAGGUAACCGUAGGGGAACCUGCGGCUGGAUCACCUCCUUUCUAAU
rnacentral:rRNA from 1 species